UGAGGAAUAUUGGUCAAUGGGCGCAAGCCUGAACCAGCCAUCCCGCGUGCAGGAUGACGGCCCUAUGGGUUGUAAACUGCUUUUCUGAGGGAAGAAUAAGAGCGAUUCGUUCGUUCGACGACGGUACCUCAGGAAUAAGCAUCGGCUAACUCCGUGCCAGCAGCCGCGGUAAUACGGAGGAUGCAAGCGUUAUCCGGAUUUAUUGGGUUUAAAGGGUGCGUAGGCGGACUGUCAAGUCAGUGGUGAAAU
rnacentral:rRNA from 1 species